UGGGGAAUCUUGGACAAUGGGGGCAACCCUGAUCCAGCCAUGCCGCGUGAGUGAUGAAGGCCUUAGGGUCGUAAAGCUCUUUCGCCUGUGAAGAUAAUGACGGUAGCAGGUAAAGAAACCCCGGCUAACUCCGUGCCAGCAGCCGCGGUAAUACGGAGGGGGUUAGCGUUGUUCGGAAUUACUGGGCGUAAAGCGCACGUAGGCGGACCAGAAAGUUGGGGGUGAAAUCCCGGGGGCUCAACCCCGGAACUGCCUCCAAAACUAUUGGUCUAGAGUUCGAGAGAGGUGAGUGGAAUUCCAAGUGUAGAGGUGAAAUUCGUAGAUAUUUGGAGGAACACCAGUGGCGAAGGCGGCUCACUGGCUCGAUACUGACGCUGAGGUGCGAAAGUGUGGGGAGCAAACAGGAUUAGAUACCCUGGUAGUCCACACCGUAAACGAUGAAUGCCAGUCGUCGGGUAGCAUGCUAUUCGGUGACACACCUAACGGAUUAAGCAUUCCGCCUGGGGAGUACGGUCGCAAGAUUAAAACCUCAAA
rnacentral:rRNA from 1 species